rnacentral:rRNA from 1 species
AAAACAAGCUUUUAAGAGCAGAUGGCGGAUGCCUUGCCAAAGAGAGGCGAUGAAGGACGUACUAGACUGCGAUAAGCUAUGCGGAGCUGUCAAGGAGCUUUGAUGCGUAGAUGUCCGAAUGGGGCAACCCAACUAAUAGAGAUAUUAGUUACUCUAAUAUAGAGAGCGAACCUAGUGAAGUGAAACAUCUCAGUAACUAGAGGAAAAGAAAUCAACGAGAUUCCCUAAGUAGUGGCGAGCGAACGGGGAAAAGGGCAAACCGAGUGCUUGCAUUCGGGGUUGAGGACUGCAACAUCCAAGAGAACGCUUUAGCAGAGUUACCUGGAAAGGUAAGCCAUAGAAAGUGAUAGCCUUGUAUGCGACAGGGCGUUUUUAGGUAGCAGUAUCCAGAGUAGGCCAGGACACGAGAAAUCCAGGUUGAAGCCGGGGAGACCACUCUCCAACCCUAAAUACUACUCUUUGAGCGAUAGCGAACAAGUACCGUGAGGGAAAGGUGAAAAGAACCGCAGUGAGCGGAGUGAAAUAGAACCUGAAACCAUCUGCUUACAAUCAUUCAGAGCCCUAUGAUUUAUCAGGGUGAUGGACUGCCUUUUGCAUAAUGAUCCUGCGAGUUGUGGUAUCUGGCAAGGUUAAGCGAAUGCGAAGCCGUAGCGAAAGCGAGUCUUAAUAGGGCGCUUGAGUCAGAUGCUGCAGACCCGAAGCUAAGUGAUCUAUCCAUGGCCAAGUUGAAGCGCGUGUAAUAGCGCGUGGAGGACUGAACUCGUACCCAUUGAAACGGGUUGGGAUGAGCUGUGGAUAGGGGUGAAAGGCCAAACAAACUUAGUGAUAGCUGGUUCUCUUCGAAAUAUAUUUAGGUAUAGCCUCAAGUGAUAAUAAAAGGGGGUAGAGCGCUGAUUGGGCUAGGGCUGCUCGCCGCGGUACCAAACCCUAUCAAACUUCGAAUACCUUUUAUCGUAUCUUGGGAGUCAGGCGGUGGGUGAUAAAAUCAAUCGUCAAAAGGGGAACAACCCAGACUACCAAAUAAGGUCCCUAAGUUCUAUUCUGAGUGGAAAAAGAUGUGUGGCUACUCAAACAACCAGGAGGUUGGCUUAGAAGCAGCCAUCCUUUAAAGAAAGCGUAACAGCUCACUGGUCUAGUGGUCAUGCGCUGAAAAUAUAACGGGGCUAAGAUAGACACCGAAUUUGUAGAUUGUGUUUGACACAGUGGUAGAAGAGCGUUCAUACCAGCGUUGAAGGUAUACCGGUAAGGAGUGCUGGAGCGGUAUGAAGUGAGCAUGCAGGAAUGAGUAACGAUAAGAUAUAUGAGAAUUGUAUCCGCCGUAAAUCUAAGGUUUCCUACGCGAUGGUCGUCAUCGUAGGGUUAGUCGGGUCCUAAGCCGAGUCCGAAAGGGGUAGGUGAUGGCAAAUUGGUUAAUAUUCCAAUACCGACUAUGGAGCGUGAUGGGGGGACGCAUAGGGUUAAGCGAGCUAGCUGAUGGAAGCGCUAGUCUAAGGGCGUAGAUUGGAGGGAAGGCAAAUCCACCUCUGUAUUUGAAACCCAAACAGGCUCUUUGAGUCCUUUUAGGACAAAGGGAGAAUCGCUGAUACCGUCGUGCCAAGAAAAGCCUCUAAGCAUAUCCAUAGUCGUCCGUACCGCAAACCGACACAGGUAGAUGAGAUGAGUAUUCUAAGGCGCGUGAAAGAACUCUGGUUAAGGAACUCUGCAAACUAGCACCGUAAGUUCGCGAUAAGGUGUGCCACAGCGAUGUGGUCUCAGCAAAGAGUCCCUCCCGACUGUUUACCAAAAACACAGCACUUUGCCAACUCGUAAGAGGAAGUAUAAGGUGUGACGCCUGCCCGGUGCUCGAAGGUUAAGAGGAUGCGUCAGUCGCAAGAUGAAGCGUUGAAUUGAAGCCCGAGUAAACGGCGGCCGUAACUAUAACGGUCCUAAGGUAGCGAAAUUCCUUGUCGGUUAAAUACCGACCUGCAUGAAUGGCGUAACGAGAUGGGAGCUGUCUCAACCAGAGAUUCAGUGAAAUUGUAGUGGAGGUGAAAAUUCCUCCUACCCGCGGCAAGACGGAAAGACCCCGUGGACCUUUACUACAACUUAGCACUGCUAAUGGGAAUAUCAUGCGCAGGAUAGGUGGGAGGCUUUGAAGUAAGGGCUUUGGCUCUUAUGGAGCCAUCCUUGAGAUACCACCCUUGAUGUUUCUGUUAGCUAACUGGUCUGUGUUAUCCACAGGCAGGACAAUGCUUGGUGGGUAGUUUGACUGGGGCGGUCGCCUCCUAAAAAGUAACGGAGGCUUGCAAAGGUUGGCUCAUUGCGGUUGGAAAUCGCAAGUUGAGUGUAAUGGCACAAGCCAGCCUGACUGUAAGACAUACAAGUCAAGCAGAGACGAAAGUCGGUCAUAGUGAUCCGGUGGUUCUGUGUGGAAGGGCCAUCGCUCAAAGGAUAAAAGGUACCCCGGGGAUAACAGGCUGAUCUCCCCCAAGAGCUCACAUCGACGGGGAGGUUUGGCACCUCGAUGUCGGCUCAUCGCAUCCUGGGGCUGGAGCAGGUCCCAAGGGUAUGGCUGUUCGCCAUUUAAAGCGGUACGCGAGCUGGGUUCAGAACGUCGUGAGACAGUUCGGUCCCUAUCUGCCGUGGGCGUAGGAAAGUUGAGGAGAGCUGUCCCUAGUACGAGAGGACCGGGAUGGACGUGUCACUGGUGCACCAGUUGUUCUGCCAAGAGCAUCGCUGGGUAGCUACACACGGAUGUGAUAACUGCUGAAAGCAUCUAAGCAGGAAGCCAACUCCAAGAUGAACUUUCCCUGAAGCUCGCACAAAGACUAUGUGCUUGAUAGGGUAGAUGUGUAAGCGCAGUAAUGCGUUUAGCUGACUACUACUAAUAGAGCGUUUGGCUUGUUUUUUG